rnacentral:lncRNA from 1 species
CUUGUGUCUUUAGAGAACUGUUUCACUUUGAUAUCCUUUUUCUUCUGUCCUGAUUUUCUCUUUCUUUUCUUCUGUUAACUAGAUAUUCUUUGUUGUUCUUCGUUAGCUAGCUAGCUUCUUCCAAAAGAGUCCCUAGCAACUGCUUAGCAACUGGUAAACAAUUCAGCUAGCUAAGAUAACUACAAUUUUAUGAAAAAUUGUUAUUUUUCAAAAGCCUAUCUUCUUUGUUUGUUAUCUCAGUUAGUAUUCAGAAAGGCCUAAAUGUAACUUAGUGAAGGGGAAUCUCAAAUCCGCAGAGAGAGUGGACCUACACAGGGGGUAAGGAGGGAGCUGGUAAGUCCUGUAACUAAGAGACAUAUUGGUAACACCUGACCACUAAAACACUGAUGAUGAGAAACAUUGGUGAGCAGUAGCUCGUUGGAUUGGUUGGCUGAUGGGAAAACGCCCUUUUCCAUGGUACUUAUCAACAUACACAGCAACAACACCCUCUGGAGACAUCCAAAACCAAUUAAAGUUUGUUUUGACAGAUCGCUAUCCACGAUAGGUCUCCAAUAAUGAUGUGAUGUCAACAAAUUACGCAUUCACUUUCAUGGCAAUAUGGGUGAACUGUGGAAAUUCUUGUGGACUUCAGAACUGUUCUCGCCAUCUGAAUGUGCGUCCUGGCCGUUCUGUCUGUAUGGUUGGGAACCUCUCCUGAAGUCUCGGGUUUUGCCGCCAUGUGUUUCCAUUUACCUGGGUUACCUCGGAGCGUGACGUUCCCACCACAGUUAUUACCCAGCGCCCUGUGCAGUCACUCCGUGGGGGGGCGCUUCUUCUGUGAAGUUAAUGCAAUAGCCAUCCACCUUGAGACCCUUACUGUCACAGACAACUAGUCGGUCUCAGAGACCUUCUUAGUCCAGCUGGGCUCUCAGACUAGACGUUAUAGUAGAGAUACAGCAUAUUUGACAGACAGAGACGCUGUACAAAGAAAAACAUAUUGGCAUGCUCUUGAUACGAAUGUAGGGUUCAUGUGGGAAUGUGCUCCACGAAUCCCAAACUUACAGCAAAAUGACAGAAAUGGAGGGUUAAACUGAAACUCAUCCAAAACAGACAUUUCACUCCAUUUUCGCCAUUGGGGAUUUGACAGUACUGGCAGUGGAGUUGGUCGUUGAAUAUUGCCCGUCUCAGGCAUAUUGGACAGGCCUUGGGUGUCAGUGUAUUCUCAUACUCCAUAUAUCAGAUGAUUAAGUUAUCCCUCACGUCUGCUGGGAUGACUGAGUGUUUGAUAAACUUCAAACACGUUGUGUUUACUCAACCCAACCAAACCGGCGGAAAAUAUUGCCUCAGUCGGAGGCUUAGCCAAUCCAUAAACUGUGGGUUUGUGUUGGUAGUAACCAGUGCCUGGAGGUCGGGUCCAACCAUAACUUCUGCCUCCUGCUCUCCACAGAAGCUUCUUAUUUCAUACCGAGACGGGUGUCUUCGUCCUAUCCUCUCGUCCGCAGGGAGAGCAAGAAGACAAAUAUUUUCUUUCAGGAGCGUCGCUCUGUUACCUGAGAGUUUCAUAAAUCCAGCACGUCUAUUUCCUGGAACUGUUGAGUGUCUUUCCAUCCCUUUGCCCCUCCGCCCCACCCUCUAGACCCUUCUCUCAGCCAGUGUUUAGGCCUGGAGCAGGUGCCCCUCCCUUGGGCAGCCUGCUCAGGAAAGGCCCCUGCUGUGCAGACGAGACUGGGCCGCAGCCCGGGCCAAGCUCAUGCUGUGAGGGGUAUAAGAGGCUCCCUUCUAUCCAGACACACGCAAAAAAGAUUCGCUUUGCACUCCUCCUCCUCUCUCGCUCUGUUUCUCUCCAAAAUGCAAUCUUCCCAUCUGUUUUCCCUCUCUCAAAUCACUCUCUUUCUCUACUUCACAAAUCUCUCUGUUUCCUUCUCUCAAAUCACUCUUUCACUACUUCACAAAUCUCUGUUUCCUUCUCUCAAAUCACUCUUUCACUACUUCACAAAUCUCUCUGUUUCCUUCUCUCUCUGCCUCCCUGUCCCUUCUCUCACCCCAUAUGACUUUAUAAAGGUUACAGACUGAAGCACGCCCAUCAACCCUGGAAAAUUAUGAAAAACAUGACUACUACAAAAAGGUUUAACUCUUUACUCAAGCUAUCAUAAUAAGCAGUUAGAGUUACUCAUGCCCUGAAGUUACUCAUGUCCUGUAGGCCAAGCUGUGUGAGUUACUCAUGUCCUGUAGGCCAAGCUGUGUGAGUUACUCAUGUCCUGUAGUUACUCAUGUCCUGUAGGCCAAGCUGUGUGAGUUACUCAUGUCCUGUAGGCCAAGCUGUGUGAGUUACUCAUGUCCUGUAGGCCAAGCUGUGUGAGUUACUCAUGUCCUGUAGGCCAAGCUGAGUGAGUUACUCAUGUCCUGUAGGCCAAGCUGUGUGACUUACUCAUGUCAAUGUAGUUACUCAUGUCCUGUAGGCCAAGCUGUGUGAGUUACUCAUGUCCUGUAGUUACUCAUGUCCUGUAGGCCAAGCUGUGUGACUUACUCAUAUCAAUGUAGUUACUCAUGUCCUGUAGGCCAAGCUGUGUGACUUACUCAUGUCAGUGUAGUUACUCAUGUCCUGUAGGCCAAGCUGUGUGUUACUCAUGUCCUGUAGGCCAAGCUGUGUGAGUUACUCAUGUCCUGUAGGCCAAGCUGUGUGACUUACUCAUGUCCUGUAGGCCAAGCUGUGUGAGUUACUCAUGUCCUUGAGUUACUCAUGUCCUGUAGGCCAAGCUGUGUGUUACUCAUGUCCUGUAGGCCAAGCUGUGUGUGUUACUCAUGUCCUGUAGGCCAAGCUGUGUGUUACUCAUGUCCUGUAGGCCAAGCUGAGUGAGUUACUCAUGUCCUGUAGGCCAAGCUGUGUGAGUUACUCAUGUCCUGUAGGCCAAGCUGAGUGAGUUACUCAUGUCCUGUAGGCCAAGCUGUGUGUUACUCAUGUCCUGUAGGCCAAGCUGUGUGUUACUCAUGUCCUGUAGGCCAAGCUGUGUGUUACUCAUGUCCUGUAGGCCAAGCUGUGUGAGUUACUCAUGUCCUGUAGGCCAAGCUGUGUGACUUACUCAUGUCCUGUAGGCCAAGCUGUGUGACUUACUCAUGUCCUGUAGGCCAAGCUGUGUGAGUUACUCAUGUCCUGUAGGCCAAGCUGUGUGACUUACUCAUGUCCUGUAGGCCAAGCUGUGUGUUACUCAUGUCCUGUAGGCCAAGCUGUGUGUUACUCAUGUCCUGUAGGCCAAGCUGUGUGUGUUACUCAUGUCCUGUAGGCCAAGCUGUGUGUUACUCAUGUCCUGUAGGCCAAGCUGUGUGUUACUCAUGUCCUGUAGGCCAAGCUGAGUGAGUUACUCAUGUCCUGUAGGCCAAGCUGUGUGAGUUACUCAUGUCCUGUAGGCCAAGCUGUGUUAGUUACUCAUGUCCUGUAGGCCAAGCUGUGUGAGUUACUCAUGUCCUGUAGGCCAAGCUGUGUGAGUUACUCAUGUCCUGUAGGCCAAGCUGUGUGAGUUACUCAUGUCCUGUAGGCCAAGCUGUGUGUGUUACUCAUGUCCUGUAGGGCAAGCUGUGUGUUACUCAUGUCCUGUAGGCCAAGCUGUGUGAGUUACUCAUGUCCUGUAGGCCAAGCUGUGUGGAGUUACUCAUGUCCUGUAGGCCAAGCUGUGUGAGCAAAGAAACUGAAUUUAUUGACUCCCUGAAGCAUCACAACCGGUCACAACUGACACAUGGUUACUUACUACAUCAUUUAAUGUGGUAACAACAUUUAUCAAAGUAUUAGGGUAGGGUUUAUUUUAGCGAAUGCAAUUGAAAACCUGUUCAAAACUCCCCUACUCGUAAUCGCUGGUUUGACAGCAAACACUCAAACCAGGGAACAGACAGAGUCUCUUUGUUCACCGUAUGGCACCCCCACCAUGAGGAACCCUCCUCCCCGCCACGUCCCCUGUCUUCACACUUCUGUGUCAGCCGCCAACAUCAGGCGAGACCCAGGCUUGCGUGCCUUGAAGGCUGGAGGUUACAUAAACCUACAUAGGCACCGCAGUUCGCACAUGGGCUCUUACUAGUAAAGACUGUAAAUAUGGCAUGUCUCUCCAUCCUUCUCCAGGGCUUGACAUUUACGCUUGUAAAAAAAAUAAUUAAAAAAAGUCGGACAAGAAGAAUACAGAUUUGAGUUGUCCAAAUGGACAAGUAAAACAAUCACACAAAAAACAUUGCAAUAUCAAACAAUUACAAUUGGAUCAGAGUUGGAACAUUUUCCCCCCUGAAUGCGACGUAUUGCUGUUCUCCAAAUUUCUGCAGACUGCAUCGAGUAGGAUUGUAUUGAAUUGACAGGUAGGAGCAGUCUUUCAAUCAUCCCGGGUUGUGAGCAUUUGAGAUCAAAGCAAAGAGCUGUGUGUAGCCGUGUGUGCACAUGUUGAUAUUUGGUGCUAAUUAGUGAGUUAUUUACACAGUUAACACACAUUUUGGUCAGCAAACAGGGUUUGUACAGUCAUGAAAAUCCUGGAAAAGUCAUGGUGUGCAGCUGUGCGCAUCACCUGCAUGUGUGCCAGUGUGAGUCGGCCAGUGUGAGUCGGCCAGAGUAGAGAGAGAGAGACAUUGCAGCAGGUAGGCCUAGCCUAUAAAAUAAUGAUAGACAACAGAC